UGGAAAAGCUGAAGUGUUACUGCUACUUAGAGCGUGAUAUAACUUUAAAGUCAGUCACAGUUGAAUACAACCAUGAUGAGACACACAGUAACAAAACCACGGGGACCAAUAUAGGUAACAUCACCAGAUGUUUCUAACCACCUUCCAUUUAGUACAUGGACAUUAAAUGAUCUGCACAAGUCUAAGAGUUGCUUCCAUAACUGUUAACGACAUUGUCCUCGCUCAGGUACAGAGGGUGGCAGUUUGCAUCAUACAUGAAGUAUUCAAGGGGUAGGUAGAGAUACAGUCAUCUUCAACGUCAUCCAUCUCACUACCAGUCCUUUAAUUCAUAUCACCACACAGUAAGGUAGUCGAUACUGUCAUCUUCAACGUCAUCCACCUCACUACCAGUCCUUGAAUUCAUAUCACCACACAGUAAUGUAGUCGAUACUGUCAUCUUCAACAUCAUCCACCUCACUACCAGUCCUUGAAUUCAUAUCACCACACAGUAAGGUAGUCGAUACUGUCAUCUUCAACGUCAUCCAUCUCACUACCAGUCCUUGAAUUCAUAUCACCACACAGUAAGGUAGUCGAUACUGUCAUCUUCAACGUCAUCCACCUCACUACCAGUCCUUGAAUUCAUAUCACCACACAGUAAGGUAGUCGAUACAAUCAUCUUCAACGUCAUCCACCUCACUACCAGUCCUUGAAUUCAUAUCACCACACAGUAAUGUAGUCGAUACUGUCAUCUUCAACAUCAUCCACCUCACUACCAGUCCUUGAAUUCAUAUCACCACACAGUAAGGUAGUCGAUACUGUCAUCUUCAACGUCAUCCAUCUCACUACCAGUCCUUGAAUUCAUAUCACCACACAGUAAGGUAGUCAAUACUGUCAUCUUCACCGUCGUCCACCUCACUACCAGUCCACACAGUAAGGUAGUCAAUACUGUCAUCUUCAACGUCAUCCAUCUCACUACCAGUCCUUGAAUUCAUAUCACCACACAGUAAGGUAGUCAAUACUGUCAUCUUCACCGUCGUCCACCUCACUACCAGUCCACACAGUAAGAUGACACUGUCAGCAUGGUCACUGU